GCGGAAAUGCCAGAGUUUAUGGAGGUGGUUUAGGGCCAUUUUACGGCUUUAAUAGCCUUUCUGCU
rnacentral:tRNA from 1 species